rnacentral:rRNA from 1 species
GAGAGUUUGAUUCUGGCUCAGAUUGAACGCUGGCGGCAGGCCUAACACAUGCAAGUCGAACGGUAGCACAGAGAGCUUGCUCUUGGGUGACGAGUGGCGGACGGGUGAGUAAUGUCUGGGAAACUGCCCGAUGGAGGGGGAUAACUACUGGAAACGGUAGCUAAUACCGCAUAACGUCUUCGGACCAAAGUGGGGGACCUUCGGGCCUCACACCAUCGGAUGUGCCCAGAUGGGAUUAGCUAGUAGGUGGGGUAAUGGCUCACCUAGGCGACGAUCCCUAGCUGGUCUGAGAGGAUGACCAGCCACACUGGAACUGAGACACGGUCCAGACUCCUACGGGAGGCAGCAGUGGGGAAUAUUGCACAAUGGGCGCAAGCCUGAUGCAGCCAUGCCGCGUGUAUGAAGAAGGCCUUCGGGUUGUAAAGUACUUUCAGCGGGGAGGAAGGCGUUAAGGUUAAUAACCUUGGCGAUUGACGUUACCCGCAGAAGAAGCACCGGCUAACUCCGUGCCAGCAGCCGCGGUAAUACGGAGGGUGCAAGCGUUAAUCGGAAUUACUGGGCGUAAAGCGCACGCAGGCGGUCUGUCAAGUCGGAUGUGAAAUCCCCGGGCUUAACCUGGGAACUGCAUUCGAAACUGGCAGGCUAGAGUCUUGUAGAGGGGGGUAGAAUUCCAGGUGUAGCGGUGAAAUGCGUAGAGAUCUGGAGGAAUACCGGUGGCGAAGGCGGCCCCCUGGACAAAGACUGACGCUCAGGUGCGAAAGCGUGGGGAGCAAACAGGAUUAGAUACCCUGGUAGUCCACGCCGUAAACGAUGUCGACUUGGAGGUUGUGCCCUUGAGGCGUGGCUUCCGGAGCUAACGCGUUAAGUCGACCGCCUGGGGAGUACGGCCGCAAGGUUAAAACUCAAAUGAAUUGACGGGGGCCCGCACAAGCGGUGGAGCAUGUGGUUUAAUUCGAUGCAACGCGAAGAACCUUACCUACUCUUGACAUCCAGCGAAUUCGGUAGAGAUACCUUAGUGCCUUCGGGAACGCUGAGACAGGUGCUGCAUGGCUGUCGUCAGCUCGUGUUGUGAAAUGUUGGGUUAAGUCCCGCAACGAGCGCAACCCUUAUCCUUUGUUGCCAGCGGGUUAUGCCGGGAACUCAAAGGAGACUGCCAGUGAUAAACUGGAGGAAGGUGGGGAUGACGUCAAGUCAUCAUGGCCCUUACGAGUAGGGCUACACACGUGCUACAAUGGCGCAUACAAAGAGAAGCGACCUCGCGAGAGCAAGCGGACCUCAUAAAGUGCGUCGUAGUCCGGAUUGGAGUCUGCAACUCGACUCCAUGAAGUCGGAAUCGCUAGUAAUCGUAGAUCAGAAUGCUACGGUGAAUACGUUCCCGGGCCUUGUACGCACCGCCCGUCACACCAUGGGAGUGGGUUGCAAAAGAAGUAGGUAGCUUAACCUUCGGGAGGGCGCUUACCACUUUGUGAUUCAUGACUGGGGUGAAGUCGUAACAAGGUAACCGUAGGGGAACCUGCGGCUGGAUCACCU